rnacentral:lncRNA from 1 species
AGCUAAACCGGCUCUAAACCGGGCAAGUCCUAUAAAUAUAACAAGGUCGAACUUCAUUCACAAUUCAUGUGUCAAAACUAAAAAGAACUUGACAAUUCAUGUGCAUAUAGAGCUUCACUUAAUAUACAUACAAUCAACGUUAAUAUAUUUGUGGUUUUGCCAUUUCAGAUGGCUGAAAGAGCUCGAGCAGAGGGAAAGUUAACCACUGAUGAUAUUCACGCGAGAGCAAUAGAAGAUGUUCUUUGCCAUUUCAGAUGGCUGAAAGAGCUCGAGCAGAGGGAAAGUUAACCACUGAUGAUAUUCACGCGAGAGCAAUAGAAGAUGUUCUUUGCCAUUUCAGAUGGCUGAAAGAGCUCGAGCAGAGGGAAAGUUAACCACUGAUGAUAUUCACGCGAGAGCAAUAGAAGAUGUUCUUUGCCAUUUCAGAUGGCUGAAAGAGCUCGAGCAGAGGGAAAGUUAACCACUGAUGAUAUUCACGCGAGAGCAAUAGAAGAUGUUCUUUGCCAUUUCAGAUGGCUGAAAGAGCUCGAGCAGAGGGAAAGUUAACCACUGAUGAUAUUCACGCGAGAGCAAUAGAAGAUGUUCUUUGCCAUUUCAGAUGGCUGAAAGAGCUCGAGCAGAGGGAAAGUUAACCACUGAUGAUAUUCACGCGAGAGCAAUAGAAGAUGUUCUUUGCCAUUUCAGAUGGCUGAAAGAGCUCGAGCAGAGGGAAAGUUAACCACUGAUGAUAUUCACGCGAGAGCAAUAGAAGAUGUUCUUUGCCAUUUCAGAUGGCUGAAAGAGCUCGAGCAGAGGGAAAGUUAACCACUGAUGAUAUUCACGCGAGAGCAAUAGAAGAUGUUCUUUGCCAUUUCAGAUGGCUGAAAGAGCUCGAGCAGAGGGAAAGUUAACCACUGAUGAUAUUCACGCGAGAGCAAUAGAAGAUGUUCUUUGCCAUUUCAGAUGGCUGAAAGAGCUCGAGCAGAGGGAAAGUUAACCACUGAUGAUAUUCACGCGAGAGCAAUAGAAGAUGUUCUUUGCCAUUUCAGAUGGCUGAAAGAGCUCGAGCAGAGGGAAAGUUAACCACUGAUGAUAUUCACGCGAGAGCAAUAGAAGAUGUUCUUUGCCAUUUCAGAUGGCUGAAAGAGCUCGAGCAGAGGGAAAGUUAACCACUGAUGAUAUUCACGCGAGAGCAAUAGAAGAUGUUCUUUGCCAUUUCAGAUGGCUGAAAGAGCUCGAGCAGAGGGAAAGUUAACCACUGAUGAUAUUCACGCGAGAGCAAUAGAAGAUGUUCUUUGCCAUUUCAGAUGGCUGAAAGAGCUCGAGCAGAGGGAAAGUUAACCACUGAUGAUAUUCACGCGAGAGCAAUAGAAGAUGUUCUUUGCCAUUUCAGAUGGCUGAAAGAGCUCGAGCAGAGGGAAAGUUAACCACUGAUGAUAUUCACGCGAGAGCAAUAGAAGAUGUUCAAACUUUGAGGGUUAAAAGGUACGCUCAAAUUUUACCCCGAAUAUGAAUUGUCAAG